GACGUAGGGCGCGAGCGUUUGUCCGGAUUUAUUGGGCGUAAAGAGCUCGUAGGCGGCUUGUCGCGUCGUUCGUGAAAACCUGCAGCUCAACUGCAGGCUUCGGUCGAUACGGGCAGGCUAGAGUUCGGUAGGGGGAGACUGGAAUUCCUGGUGUAGCGGUGAAAUGCGCAGAUAUCAGGAGGAACACCGGUGGCGAAGGCGGGUCUCUGGGCCGAUACUGA
rnacentral:rRNA from 1 species